rnacentral:rRNA from 1 species
GACGAACGCUGGCGGCGUGCCUAAUACAUGCAAGUUGAGCGCUGAAGGUUGGUACUUGUACCAACUGGAUGAGCAGCGAACGGGUGAGUAACGCGUGGGGAAUCUGCCUUUGAGCGGGGGACAACAUUUGGAAACGAAUGCUAAUACCGCAUAAAAACUUUAAACACAAGUUUCCAGUUUGAAAGAUGCAAUUGCAUCACUCAAAGAUGAUCCCGCGUUGUAUUAGCUAGUUGGUGAGGUAAAGGCUCACCAAGGCGAGGAUACAUAGCCGACCUGAGAGGGUGAUCGGCCACAUUGUGACUGAGACACGGCCCACACUCCUACGGGAGGCAGCAGUAGGGAAUCUUCGGCAAUGGACGAAAGUCUGACCGAGCAACGCCGCGUGAGUGAAGAAGGUUUUCGGAUCGUAAAACUCUGUUGGUAGAGAAGAACGUUGGUGAGAGUGGAAAGCUCAUCAAGUGACGGUAACUACCCAGAAAGGGACGGCUAACUACGU